rnacentral:lncRNA from 1 species
GUCUUUGGUUGCAGACAGAUCUGAUGGGAUCUCACACCUUAGCUGUGCCCCAACCAAGUAGUGCUGACUUCCAGACCACUGAGGUCACCUGCAUAAGCGAGUCUGGCAACAAAUAAUCGUCUUCCAGAAAAUGACCAGAAACUCAGCCUGCUUUUUGUCAUUUCACCAGCCCCUCCAUCUUUCCUUUAUUCUAGAGCUCCUGGCACACUUACAUGAAUCUCUUGAAAGAAGAGACAUGAGAGCAUUCAUUCCAUACUAAAUACAAUUGUGCCCUAUGGAAAGGCUUUUUGCUGGCAGACGGACCAUUUCCCAACUUCUUUUUCUUUGCCAACUUUGCCAACUUCCAGCCAAAGGUGUCCAUAUGACACAGCUCUGGACAGGAUAAUUGGAAGUCUGUUGUGG